rnacentral:rRNA from 1 species
GGAACACGUUUCUAACGUACCCCGAGGUCAGGGAUAGCUCACCGAAAGGUGUGGUAAUACCUGAUGAUCCCUCUAGGUCGCAUGGCCCUGAGGGCAAAGGCUUGCUGCCUCGGGAGCGGGAAACGUCCUAUCAGGUUGUUGGUGAGGUAACGGCUCACCAAGCCUAAGACGGGUAGCUGGUGUGAGAGCACGACCAGCCGCAUCGGGACUGAGACACUGCCCGGACUCCUACGGGAGGCUGCAGUAACGAAUAUUCCGCAAUGCGCGAAAGCGUGACGGAGCAAUGCCGCGUGAAGGAUGAAGCCCCUCGGGGUGUAAACUUCUGUCAGGGUCUAGGAAACCUGACCGGACCCAGAGGAAGAGCCGGCUAACUCUGUGCCAGCAGCCGCGGUAAUACAGAGGGCUCUAGCGUUAAUCGGAAUCACUGGGCUUAAAGCGUGCGUAGGCGGACUGGCAAGUGCGUUGUGAAAGCCCACGGCUUAACCGUGGAAUUGCUUCGUAGACUGCCUGUCUUGAGAUCGGUAGGGGCCGUCGGAACUCUAGGUGGAGCGGUGAAAUGCGUAGAUAUCUAGAGGAACGCCAAAGGUGAAGACAGACGGCUGGGCCGAUUCUGACGCUGAGGCACGAAAGCGUG